rnacentral:rRNA from 1 species
GAUGAACGCUGGCGGCGUGCCUAAUACAUGCAAGUCGAGCGAACGGACGAGAAGCUUGCUUCUCUGAUGUUAGCGGCGGACGGGUGAGUAACACGUGGAUAACCUACCUAUAAGACUGGGAUAACUUCGGGAAACCGGAGCUAAUACCGGAUAAUAUUUUGAACCGCAUGGUUCAAAAGUGAAAGACGGUCUUGCUGUCCCUUAUAGAUGGAUCCGCGCUGCAUUAGCUAGUUGGUAAGGUAACGGCUUACCAAGGCAACAAUGCAUAGCCGACCUGAGAGGGUGAUCGGCCACACUGGAACUGAGACACGGUCCAGACUCCUACGGGAGGCAGCAGUAGGGAAUCUUCCGCAAUGGGCGAAAGCCUGACGGAGCAACGCCGCGUGAGUGAUGAAGGUCUUCGGAUCGUAAAACUCUGUUAUUAGGGAAGAACAUAUGUGUAAGUAACUGUGCACAUCUUGACGGUACCUAAUCAGAAAGCCACGGCUAACUACGUGCCAGCAGCCGCGGUAAUACGUAGGUGGCAAGCGUUAUCCGGAAUUAUUGGGCGUAAAGCGCGCGUAGGCGGUUUUUUAAGUCUGAUGUGAAAGCCCACGGCUCAACCGUGGAGGGUCAUUGGAAACUGGAAAACUUGAGUGCAGAAGAGGAAAGUGGAAUUCCAUGUGUAGCGGUGAAAUGCGCAGAGAUAUGGAGGAACACCAGUGGCGAAGGCGACUUUCUGGUCUGUAACUGACGCUGAUGUGCGAAAGCGUGGGGAUCAAACAGGAUUAGAUACCCUGGUAGUCCACGCCGUAAACGAUGAGUGCUAAGUGUUAGGGGGUUUCCGCCCCUUAGUGCUGCAGCUAACGCAUUAAGCACUCCGCCUGGGGAGUACGACCGCAAGGUUGAAACUCAAAGGAAUUGACGGGGACCCGCACAAGCGGUGGAGCAUGUGGUUUAAUUCGAAGCAACGCGAAGAACCUUACCAAAUCUUGACAUCCUUUGACAACUCUAGAGAUAGAGCCUUCCCCUUCGGGGGACAAAGUGACAGGUGGUGCAUGGUUGUCGUCAGCUCGUGUCGUGAGAUGUUGGGUUAAGUCCCGCAACGAGCGCAACCCUUAAGCUUAGUUGCCAUCAUUAAGUUGGGCACUCUAAGUUGACUGCCGGUGACAAACCGGAGGAAGGUGGGGAUGACGUCAAAUCAUCAUGCCCCUUAUGAUUUGGGCUACACACGUGCUACAAUGGACAAUACAAAGGGCAGCGAAACCGCGAGGUCAAGCAAAUCCCAUAAAGUUGUUCUCAGUUCGGAUUGUAGUCUGCAACUCGACUACAUGAAGCUGGAAUCGCUAGUAAUCGUAGAUCAGCAUGCUACGGUGAAUACGUUCCCGGGUCU